GGAAUGGUUGUAGCUCAGUGGCAGAGCAUCUGCUUUGCACAAAGAAGGUCCCAGGUUCAGUCCCUGACAUCUCCA